UUCUGGGGAUUUUGAGGUGAUUUUUAGGGGAUUUUUUGGUGAUUUUUAGGGGAUAUUUUUGUGAUUUUCAGGGGAUUUUUUGGUGAUUUUUAAGGGAUUUUUUGGUGAUUUUUAGGGGAGUUUGGGGGGAUUUUUAGGGAUUUUUGGUGAUUUUUAGGGGAUUUUUUGGUGAUUUUUAGGGGAUUUUUUGGUGAUUUUUAGGGGAUUUUGGGUUGAUUUGGGGCAGAUUUUGGGGGUGAUUUUCAGGGGAUUUUGGGAGUGCUUUUUAGGUCAUUUUGGGGUGAUUUUCAAGGCAUUUUGGGGUGAUUUUGGGCAGAUUUUGGGAGUGCUUUUCAGGGCAUUUUGGGUUGAUUUUUGGCAGAUUUUGGGGUGAUUUUCAGGGGAUUUUU